UUUAGGGAUAUUGUUGCGCGCGAGUCUUGUAAUAAUAAUACGACGACGACGACGACGACGACGACUAAGUUCGUUUUUGUUACACCGAGGGGAGGGCCGCUAUAUCGAGGACUCUUUAGAAGUAAUCCAAUUCCAACGAGUGGUAGCGGAGUGAGAAGAAAACACGACGAUAUAAGAGCACUUGAGCAAUGACCUCGAGCGGAUUUUCCGAUAGCGUUAUGCACACGACCUAAUGAAACUUACCUCCGCAACUCGAUAGUUAUAUCGGCCAGAUACUCGGACGGAUGUACUUAUCUCCCGCAAGAUGUAAAGCUGUUUUUGUGACGUCAUGUAUGUGGAGGAUCGUUUGGGUUUCGGAUGAAAAAGAGAUGUAAAUAAAGACGACAAAGUCUCGUUUUUUGGGUUGGUUGGUAUUUAUGUACGAUAUUUAUUUCCAUUUUUAUAUUCUUUAUUGUAACAUUUUUAUAUGGGAAUAUAUAUAUAUAUAUAUUUAUGGGCAAGUCAGAGAAGUAAAAAAAUCAACCGGAUCGGGGCCCACUUAUUAUUAUUAGAUACACUUCAUUUCUUCUUUCCCUUUACUCGCUUUAUACUUCGGUAUUUAUUUGUUUUAUAUUUUAUUUUAUUCAUUUUUUUUCUGUCUCAAAGUUCGCAGGAUAAAUAAACGACUAAAUAAGUUUAACACUUCAGUUACGCAGUUUUUCUUUUACUCACUUAAACGCUGUAAUAAUAAUAAUAAUGGGGGAAUUGAUAAAAAUCUAUCAUACCGAGUUUCUUCUAUAUAUAAUACGCGCGCGCGCUUAAUCAUUUAUUUAACUUGUAUAUAAUUUCCCUUUGUUUUGUUUGUUUUGUUUGUUUGUUUGUUUUUUUUGCGUUUCACGUAGUGUCGUGUUAUACAUUGCGUGUAGAGGCAAAAACAUGUAUACGAAAGUGCAUACAUUAUACAAUGCUAAAUUAUACACUUCUUUCAUUUAAAAGAUUCUACGCGAAUCAUCAUCAUCCACCUCAGUUUCUUCUCUUUUCGGAUAAAACUAACGCGUGUCAAUUUUCAUGUCGUCACAUCGUUACACAUGGCUAUACAAUAUUGAUGAAAAUAAAUGCCGGCGUAAUUAAACAAAUACUCACAGAUAAUCACGCGAAUUAUCGUAAUAUAAUAUAUAUAUAUAUAUAAAUAUAUAUAUAUAUAUUAUCAUAUGCGACGGGCAAAACAAUCAAACGCCUCGCGACGAUCUAUAUAUGUAUGAGAGAACGGAAAAGAAACGUAAUCAGAAAAACAAACUUCCAUACCACCAUUGACUUUGGUAUUACGUCGUACUAUUGAAGAAAGCUUUAUUAUACAGAAUCUGUCGCGGUAUAGCUUUUGAAAAGAAAAGUCACACAUCGAAGAUUUUCUGCAAUAGUAGAACCUAUAAUACGUAAGCAGUGUAAAGCCAUUUUUCCAGUCAGUUUUUUCCUUGCGGUUUACAUUAUACAUUUGCGGAUAGCAAUUCGUAUAUAUGGAUGUGUGUAAGUUUUAAAGCGAAGUUUCGCCCGGCACCCGAGAUGCGGUCGCGCCCAGAGCGAAAUAAAGAGAACAUAGAGUACAUAAUAUCUUAACAAAUUUGUUUUCUCGUUAAAAAAUACGGUUCACAGUAUAUAUAGCAAAAAUUCAUUUUUUCAUAACAAUAUAUAACGAGCUCGAAUUACAGUAUCGUAACAACAUUAUCCUCGCAUUCAACAAGCCAACUUGAGAGUCGCAGUAAAAAGAAAAAAUA